rnacentral:rRNA from 1 species
AGUAACUGCGAGUGAACCGGGAAGAGCUCAAAUUUAAAAUCUGGCGGUUUUGCCGUCCGAGUUGUAAUCUGGAGAAGCGUUUUCCGCGUCGGACCGUGUACAAGUCUCUUGGAAUAGAGCGUCAUAGAGGGUGAGAAUCCCGUCCAUGACACGGACUCCCGAUGCUAUGUGAUACGCUCUCAAAGAGUCGAGUUGUUUGGGAAUGCAGCUCAAAAUGGGUGGUAAAUUCCAUCUAAAGCUAAAUAUUGGCGAGAGACCGAUAGCGAACAAGUACCGUGAGGGAAAGAUGAAAAGCACUUUGGAAAGAGAGUUAAACAGUACGUGAAAUUGUUGAAAGGGAAACGCUUGAAGUCAGUCGCGUCGUACGGAGCUCAGCCUUGCUUCUGCUUGGUGUAUUCUCCGUGUCGACGGGUCAACGUCAAUUUUGAUCGGUGGAGAAGGGCCUGAGGAACGUGGCGUCGUUUCGGCGACGUGUUAUAGCCUUAGGUCGUAUGCAUCGAUUGGGAUUGAGGACCGCAGCACGCCCUUGUGGCCGGGGGUUCGCCCUACGUUCGUGCUUAGGAUGUUGGCAAAAUGGCUUUAAGCGACCCGUCUUGAAACACGGACCAAGGAGUCUAACAUGCCUGCGAGUGUUCGGGUGGAAAACCCUUGCGCGUAAUGAAAGUGAAAGUUGGGAUCCCUCGCAAGGGGGUGCACCGACGCCCGGCCCUGACGUUCUCUGACGGUGCUGCGGUAGAGCAUGUAUGUUGGGACCCGAAAGAUGGUGAACUAUGCCUGAAUAGGGUGAAGCCAGAGGAAACUCUGGUGGAGGCUCGUAGCGAUUCUGACGUGCAAAUCGAUCGUCAAAUUUGGGUAUAGGGGCGAAAGACUAAUCCAACCAUCUAGUAGCUGGUUCCUGCCGAAGUUU